rnacentral:sRNA from 1 species
CCCUAGCCCAGAUGGAAACGGCAUCCUUUUUCUUUUUUUUUAAAGAAAAAGAUACAGUGAACAGCUGGAAAUAGC